rnacentral:rRNA from 1 species
UAAUACGGAGGGUGCAAGUGUUAUUCGGAAUCACUGGGCGUAAAGAGCACGUAGGCGGAUGGGUAAGUCAGAUGUGAAAUCCCGGGGCUCAACUUCGGAACUGCAUUUGAUACUGCCCGUCUUGAGUGUGGUAGAGGGGGAUGGAAUUCCCGGUGUAGAGGUGAAAUUCGUAGAUAUCGGGAGGAACACCAGAGGCGAAGGCGAUCCCCUGGGCCAUUACUGACGCUGAGGUGCGAAAGCGUGGGGAGCAAACAGG